rnacentral:lncRNA from 1 species
CUCCCCUUUCCGUGGAGAGACUAUCAACUCCAUCUGUCACAAAAAUUAAGGCUAAAUCUCCUCUCCAGAAGCAGAGGGAGCCGGGGCUCCGACGCGCUCAGCGUCGGGCUGUCUGCCUCUCCCUAGAGGCCAAGUGAAUUUGAAAUGGCAAAAGUCACAGCCGGAGGCCCAGCACUAGGAGAUUCCUCCGGCUGCGGGAAAUCUUCCUGUACCUGCUGAAGCUGCUGCGUUCCUCAGAGGCGCUUGGUCUGCCGUGGGAAGCUGCACCUCUGCAGUCCCCAAAACCAAAAUCAAACCUUAAAAGAGCCAGACUGAGGUAAGGCGGACCGUCUUGCUCUGAUUUGAGUAUUGGUAGACAAACAGCAAUAUAAAUCGAUACUAAAAAAAUCCAGAAAGGCUGCAACUUCAUGGCACAUCAAAACAACCAUAUCCCUGGCUCUCUGUCUCUUUUUUUUUCUCUAUUAUUUGGAGUUGUCCUCUCAGUCCGGCCUGGAGGACUUGGACAACUCAGACACCUUCUCUGUGUCUGGGAUCCCUCCACAGAAGCCAGUCACCACGUAAGACAUCUGGACCACCUUCAGACUCGCAUGCUGUGAGGAAGCCCAUGCUUACUAUGUGUAGAGGAUACAUGGAGAAGGAAAGAGAUGCCUGGCCAGCUCCCUGCUGUUUCAGCCAUGUGAGUGAAGAAGGCACCAGACUUGUGAGUGGAGACACUAACUUGGAUGUCCAGCCCAGCUGAACCUUCAGGUGACUCCAGCUCUAGCUGCCAUCCUACUGAAGACACAUGAGAGAGACCCCAAGCCAGGGUCAAGAUCAGCGUGAAGCAAGUGAGGCAUUUUGGUGCAAAAUGUAAGGAGGCAUUGACCUUCAUAAUUGGGCUCCAAGACUCCAAGAGCAGAGGUGCUGAGCAGCUAAUUGGAGGGGAUAGUAU